rnacentral:tRNA from 1 species
GUAAGUAUAGUUUAAGCAAAACAUUAGAUUGUGAUUCUAAAAAUAGGAGUUAAAAUCUUCUUACUCACC